rnacentral:rRNA from 1 species
AUAAGUAAUGUGAAUUGCAGAAUUCAGUGAAUCAUCGAAUCUUUGAACGCACCUUGCACCCUUUGGUAUUCCGAAGGGUACACCUGUUUGAGUGUCGUGA